rnacentral:tmRNA from 1 species
GGGGGCGACAGGUCUCGACAGGGGCUUGGAUCGUCGGACGGAUGCAUGCCGGGCGUUCUAUGCGGCCCGUUAAUAAGCGUAGAAAAAAACAAAUGCGAACUCUAACGAGUUAGCUCUCGCGGCCUAGGUUAUCCUAGGAAGAUAGCGAGCGUCCCGCCGCCAGUUGCUCAAGCGAAGCGGGCCGGGGCGUAACACAGUUGAGCUGGUCAGGCGCGUGUGCUCAGGCGCGCCGGGCGAGAAAAAACUGGGCUAGCCGGACGCGGGGUCUUCGACGCUUCACUUACCCGCGGGCGGCGAACGCGCCGGAGCAAGACCGGCAAAGGAGAAGCGGCUAAGCAUGUAGAUUCCACCGGCGUCGGCCUUUGGACCCGAGUUCGAUUCUCGGCGCCUCCAUUC